rnacentral:hammerhead_ribozyme from 1 species
GUACUGAUGAAGUAUCCCAAAGCAGGACGAAACAGCUGUCCAGUAC